rnacentral:rRNA from 1 species
GAUGAGCAUGCGUCCCAUUAGCUUGUUGGUAAGGUAACGGCUUACCAAGGCAACGAUGGGUAGGGGUCCUGAGAGGGAGAUCCCCCACGCUGGUACUGAGACACGGACCAGACUCCUACGGGAGGCAGCAGUGAGGAAUAUUGGUCAAUGGGCGCAAGCCUGAACCAGCCAUGCCGCGUGCAGGAUGAAGCAUCUAUGGUGUGUAAACUGCUUUUGUACGAGAAGAAACACUCCUUCGUGAAGGAGCUUGACGGUAUCGUAAGAAUAAGGACCGGCUAACUCCGUGCCAGCAGCCGCGGUAAUACGGAGGGUCCAAGCGUUAUCCGGAAUCAUUGGGUUUAAAGGGUCCGUAGGCGGUUUUGUAAGUCAGUGGUGAAAGCCCAUCGCUCAACGGUGGAACGGCCAUUGAUACUGCAAGACUUGAAUUAUUGGGAAGUAACUAGAAUAUGUAGUGUAGCGGUGAAAUGCUUAGAGAUUACAUGGAAUACCAAUUGCGAAGGCAGGUUACUACCAAUAUAUUGACGCUGAUGGA